rnacentral:rRNA from 1 species
CCUACGGGUGGCAGCAGUGAGGAAUAUUGGUCAAUGGGCGGAAGCCUGAACCAGCCAAGUAGCGUGCAGGAUGACGGCCCUAAGGGUUGUAACCUGCUGUUAUACGGGAAUAACGCGCCUUACGUGUAGGGCUUUGCAUGUACCGUAUGAAUAAGGACCGGCUAAUUCCGUGCCAGCAGCCGCGGUACUACGGCAGUGCCGGGCGUUAUCCGGAUGUAUUGGUUUUAAAGGGAGCGUAGGCCGCAUGUCAAGCGUGCUGUGAAAUGUCCGGGCUCAACCCGGGCCUUGCAGCGCGAACUGGCGUGCUUGAGUCCGCGGAAAGCAGGCGGAAUUCGUCGUGUAGCGGGGAAAUGCUUAGAUAUGACGAAGAACCCCGAUUGCGAAGGCAGCUUGCUGCAGCGGAACUGACGCUGAUGCUCGAAAGCGCGGGUAUCGAACAGGAUUAGAUACCCCAGUAGUC